GGCCUCCAGACCAGACAAACUCCGUCUCCCGUGGGAGUAGUGGCCUGUCGCUCUCUGCCUCUAGCUCUCACAGUGGCCGCAGAUGGCAGUGUCUCUGGGGACAGCAGCUGUGAUUGAGUCCACUGGCCAACACUGAGCCACUCAGACUGAGGCAUCUGGCUCUGUGCAGAGACUGCAGAACGGGCGUCUACGGGUAUGAGCCAAAGCCGGCGCGAUGCCGCACUUUCUGGACUGGUUUGUGCCCGUCUACCUGGUCAUCUCCGUCCUAAUCCUGGUGGGCUUUGGAGCCUGCAUCUACUACUUCGAACCUGGCCUGCAGGAGGCGCACAAGUGGCGCAUGCAGCGCCCCCUGGUGGACCGUGAUCUCCGCAAGACGCUGAUGGUGCGGGACAACCUGGCUUUCGGAGGCCCAGAAGUCUGAGGCUGCCUUGAGACCCUCCGAGCUGACAGAGGACGACUCCUCUGAUCGUUCUUUCCAUCCACCAAUCUGCAGCCCAGUAGAGGUCCUUGUUGUUCAGGGAAGCCCCUUUCUGUAGAAACCAGGCACUUGGAUCUUACUUAUUGCUGUGGGAUCAAAAUCCCAGAGUCGAGCCCGUUCACCCCAUGCCUUCCCUUCCUAGCUCUGGGGACAUCCUCCACUAGCCCUCAGUGCCUUUGUGCUGUCCUUCCCUCUGCCACUCUACCUGGAUUCAGGUAUGACUGUCCCACUGCACUCCCGGUUGCUUUCUGCUCCGG
rnacentral:lncRNA from 1 species